AUACUUACCUGGACGGGGUCAACGGUCGAUCAAGAAGGCCCGUGGCCUAGGCCAAUGGCCCGCAUUGCACUGGGUGGGCGCGUUAGCUUACAAUCUCCCCAAGUGGGAGAGUGGACGAAAUAAUUUGUGAUAGAGGGGGUACGCGUUCGCGCGGCCCUGCU
rfam:Oryza meridionalis cultivar OR44 (W2112) chromosome 2, whole genome shotgun sequence.